UCGCUCAAAUAUUCGGCGAUAGAUGGCGU
rnacentral:sRNA from 1 species